rnacentral:rRNA from 1 species
UACGAAGGGGGCUAGCGUUGUUAGGAAUUACUGGGCGUAAAGCGCGUGUAGGCGGGCCGUUAAGUUGGGGGUGAAAGCCCAGAGCUCAACUCUGGAAUUGCCUUCGAUACUGGCGGCCUGGAGCAUGAUAGAGGCGAGUGGAAUUGCGAGUGUAGAGGUGAAAUUCGUAGAUAUUCGCAGGAACACCAGUGGCGAAGGCGACUCGCUGGAUCAUUGCUGACGCUGAGACGCUAAAGCGUGGGGAGCAUACAGG